rnacentral:rRNA from 1 species
GCACCAGCACCUCAAGUGGUCAGGAUGAUUAUUGGGCCUAAAGCAUCCGUAGCCUGCUUUGUAAGUUUUCGGUUAAAUCCAUAUGCUCAACAUAUGGGCCGCCGGGAAUACUGCACAGCUAGGGAGUGGGAGAGGUAGACGGUACUCGGUAGGAAGGGGUAAAAUCCUUUGAUCUAUUGAUGAACACCUGUGGCGAAGGCGGUCUACCAGAACACGUCCGACGGUGAGGGAUGAAAGCUGGGGGAGCAAACCGGAGUAGAAACCCGAGUAGUCC